rnacentral:lncRNA from 1 species
AGGUCUAAGAGGAGGACAUCAAAAACUAGUGAGUUACUGGAGGAUCGAAGCUAUGUCCGAACCCUAUGAUCCAGCCCCUACUCACCCCUUCGAUGGCUCUGAGCCAUCCUUCGUGGUCAAGGAGGGAUUGAGAUGAUGGGCCCUCACUAUGCCGCACUACGACGUACUCUGCAUAAUUCGCCUGUAUAGUUUAAAAAUUCAUUAGUGCUAUUAUACAUA